rnacentral:rRNA from 1 species
CCUACGGGUGGCAGCAGUGAGGAAUAUUGGUCAAUGGACGAGAGUCUGAACCAGCCAAGUAGCGUGAAGGAUGACUGCCCUAUGGGUUGUAAACUUCUUUUAUAAAGGAAUAAAACGAGGCACGUGUGCCUUUUUGCAUGUACUUUAUGAAUAAGGAUCGGCUAACUCCGGGCCAGCAGCCGCGGUAAUACGGAGGAUCCGAGCGUUAUCCGGAUUUCGUGGGGUUAAAGGGAGCGUAGAUGGGUUGUUAAGUCAGUUGUGUAAGUUUGCGGCUCAACCGUAAAAUUGCAAUUGAUACUGGCAGUCUUGAGUACAGUUGAGGUAGGCGGAAUUCGUGGUGUAGCGGUGAAAUGCUUAGAUAUCACGAAGAACCCCGAUUGCGAAGGCAGCUUACUAAACUGUGACUGACAUUGAUGCUCGAAAGUGUGGGUAUCAAACAGGAUUAGAUACCCGAGUAGUC